UCGUUUGGGGGCAUUCGCAGGCUAAAGAGGGGCUGGCCCUCGACGCGCUCGGGCUCGAUUGGCCGCCCUUCCCCGGCGGCGGUAACGGUCGCGGAGGCGGGGCCUGAUGUAGUAAUCCCAGCCUAGCCGGGGCCGGGCUGGCUGCUGGUGGGAGGCGGCGACUGAGGAAGAUGAAGAUCCAGUUUCAGACAUGAGACUUGUUGGGUGAUCAUUUCAUUGAGAUCAACCUGAAUGACCAGGUGUAAAGUGCAAGAGUAGUAUGCUAUGACUGAGGAAUUGCAUGGCUGGGUCUUAUGGUAAGUGCUUAACCUUUUAAGAAAUAGCCAAAGUGAUUUACAAAGUGGUUGUACUAGUUUAAAUUCCCAUCAGCAGUAUAUGAGAGUUCUAGUUCCCUCACAUCCUCGAAAACACUUGGUAUAGUCAUUCUUAGCCAUUCUAAUAUGUGUAGUGGUGUCACAUCGUGUGUUUUAAUGUGCAUUUCCCUCCUGACUAACAAUGUUUAGCAUCUUUUUGUGUGCCUACUUGCCAUCUGUAUGUCUUCUUUUGUGAAAUGUCUAUCGAAAUUUUUUGACCAUUUUUAAGUUCCAUUGUUUACUUUUUGUUGAUGUUAACUUCCUUACUGAGUUUUGAGAGUUCCUUAUAUAUUCUGGAUAUGAACCUUUUCUGAUUCCUGAUUAUUUUCUCUGAGUAUGUGGUUUCUUUUUUCAUUCUCAGAAUGGUACCUUUUAAAGAGCAGACAUUAUUUUUGUGAAGCCCGUUUGUUCUUGAAUUGUAUCAUGCUUUUGGUGUCAUAUCAUAGACAUGUUUGCCUAACUCAAGGUCAUACAGUUUUUCUGUGUUUUUCUAGACAUGUUGUGAUUUUAAGUUUUAGAUUUAUGUCAAUUCAUUUUAAUUUUUGGUAUAUGGUGUGAGAUAUGGCUGAAAGUCCUUUUUCUUUCUUUCUUUCUUUUUUUUUUUUUUUGUAUAUGGCUAUCCCAUUGUUCUAGCAUCAUUUAUUGAAAAACAAAACUGAUUUUUUCUGCUAAAUUACCUUCAUAUCUUUGGUGAAAAUUAGUUGUCCAUAUAUGUAUGAGUCUGUUUCUGGACUCUAUUUUGUUUCAUUAAUCUGUUUGUCUACCUCGAUAUCAAUGCUACAUUGUCUUGAUUACUGUAACUUUAUAAACCUUGAAAUGAUGUAGUAUUAGUCCUUCAACUUUGUUCUUCUUUUUCAUUCAUUCAUUUAUUAAUUUAGAGAUAGGGUCUUACUUUGUCACCCAG